AUGAGUAAAAGGGAGGUUUAAGUGAAGUAAUUGUGUGGUGUUUUCUUUAUGAUGAAUAAAUAGAGACCAAGCUCAAGAAUAUAAAUAGAUAGUAGCGUGUUGCGAAACUAGGGUUAGAAAUCAUUUGAGACAUUUUGGAAAAGAGGCAAGAGAUACAGAAAGGGAGAGAAUAAGAAUAAGAGAACCAGAAAGAAAGAAGAUGAGAACUUAAGGAAUCAAGAGGAGAGGGAGACCUAAGCUAGAUGAAAACUAAUUUUGAAGAGCUAAGAGACUUUCAGGAUGAGGACAUUUGAUUGCCGUGAGUUUUUCGAGGAUGGCCAUGGAGCCUACUCGUGUUUUACCACUUUCCUUUUGAGUCUUAUCUAGUGGUUCUCUGACUAGGAUAGUUUGGGGAUUGUUAUGUUCUUAUUGGAUUAUGUAUGGAACAAUAUCGUCCAUAGUUGAUGUAUCUUGAGAUAUGAUAUUUGACCUUAAAAUGUUUAUUUUUCCGCUGCGAAGUGUUAUUUACAUGAUAAACUAUGUAUGGAUGAAUCUAAUGAAGAUUAUCACCUUGAAGUUAUUUGAUUAA